rnacentral:lncRNA from 1 species
UCAGGCUGCUUUCCUGGCUUCAGCAACUCCCCUGUUCUCUAAGGAUAGUCUCAGAGAAAGCUAAGGGAGGAGCCCAGGUCUGGAUGAGCUGAUCACAGUCAGCAGGGGAAGGAAAAGAGGAGGGAGAAAUGCCCACCAACACCAGCAAGCAGAGCAACUGCAGCUGCUAAGCAAAGAGGCCAGCAGCUUUUAUUAGGAGAGAGAUUUGCUGCAUAUCAGUUCAAGUUACCCAUCUGUUCAUAGAUAUAUGGCUGUUUCUGUGGAAUAAGUAAGUUUUACUGAUUUUUUUAAAAAAAUGUUU